UUUGGGCUAUGAUGACAAUGUUAUAAUCCCAGCUCUAUGAGACCUUUUUCAAGGUCUGGGAAUUGACUUUGUCCAGCAUUUGUCUGAGCUUUUAU
rnacentral:snoRNA from 1 species